UUCAUUUGUUUCACUGACUCGAAUCAUUGAACUCACCAGAAACACAGCAAACUCGUGUGAUUCGUUUGAAUUGUUUCACAUACUCGAAUCACAGAACUCUCCAGAAAUACAAGUAAACGAAAGUGAUUCAUUUGAAUUCAUUCACUCAAACCAACAAUGGAACUCCCCGGAAACCCAAAUGCUUCAUUUCAGUUGGUUCACUUUUUGGAUUUUGGACUCACCGGAAAUGGGCUAACAUUUUUGUAACAGGUACUUAAACACAGUCGAGUGCUCUGUCAUAUAGCAUAGAAUAUCUUUGUCUGGUUAAAAAUAUUAAAACAAUAACAUUAAAGUGAACUUUUUACUGGUGCUAAGAUGUAAUGUAGUAAUGCUUGAGCGUGAUUGUGACAUUUAAAGGGGGUAAAACUAGCCAAAGCUACCGUUGAUGCUAACACACUGUUGAGUCCCUCGGUGGAGAAUGUUUGGACACCCCUGAAAAUGGGAAAUUCUGCUUAAUUUUUUUCAGUCACCUCCAAAGUUUGGGUCAAAUGUUUUUUUUAAACGUCCUUACCUGUGGCGAUAGCACAAGAAAACAAGGAGCGAAAAGGUUGGUGGAUGGGGUGUCUUCGACGUCUCGGCAAUGUGACGCUGCGCCGCCAUGUUCGGGUCAAACAUGGCGGCGCCCAUUAGGAGGAGGAAAUUUGCAGGCGUCUUUUCAUCAGGUGCUGAUGUUACACUGAUGCAACCUUUCAGCCUACAGUGGAGGUCAAACGGUGAACUCUAAUGAUGCUGUAAAAGACCCUGGUGCAGGAAAAAUCAAGCAUGGAUCGACUUUUGAGGAUAAGGAAUCUUCCUUCAAGUGAAGCGUUCACAUUCCUGUGCUGUCUGUGUGGGAAUAUUGACAGCAAUUGAAUGCUUCAUUUACGAUUUACGAUUCAAGGCAUUUAGUAUCAAGCAAACCCAUUUUAAAAGCUUUUCUCCGUUUUUGCAAGUGCAAUUAUAAUUUUUUUUUAUAUAAAUAGAAUAAAAAAUGAUUCAAUGUCAUAUCAUUGAAACGCCCCCCUCCCCCCAUUGUAAAGCAGGAAAGCAUUCCUAUAAGAAGCCAUUCAGAGAGCAGCGGGUGCACAGCAUUGUUCCCCAAGACAUAAAAGUAUCAUUUGAUUAUAAAUAUAGAUAUGCAUAUCUUUUAAAAAAAAUAAGACACAUUGCUUUGUAGCCCUGAUAUCAUAACAUCACAGUAGCGUGAGGAUGAGCCCCAAAAUACGGUGCCGGCUCGACUGGAGUCUUGAGUGAAAUUCACUUUCACUUUGAUGAUGAAAAACUCAAUGGAGGAAACCAAAAGACAUCCAAGGCUCAGUCGGUUUUUUUGCAGCUCUCCCCCGCCUGCGAUCCGUCUUUGGUUCUGCUUCCGUUGGCGGGCCUCUUCUCGCAGGUGAGCGCGCUCCCUGAGCCGUUACGAGCCGACGCCUUCCUGACCUCCACGGCGAGGGCGGCGUACGGGGAGAAGCCGGUGAACAGCGUCUUGUAGAUGGCUGACUCGAUGGUGGCGAAGGGCGAUGCCGCGGAGCCGGUCAGCAUCAUCCUCGCCUGGGAAGAUAAGACGGCACAGGAUGUGAGGGUGGAAGGGAGGACGGCGGUCUAUUUGUUCGGGUGUCAGGGUGACUGUCAACUGUGCGUACGUAAGCUUG